rnacentral:rRNA from 1 species
UGGGGAAUUUUGCACAAUGGGGGAAACCCUGAUGCAGCGACGCCGCGUGAUUUAGAAGGCCUUCGGGUUGUAAAAAUCUUUUUUACGGGAUGAAAAUGACAGUACCGUAAGAAUAAGGUCCGGCUAAAUACGUGCCAGCAGCCGCGGUAAUACGUAUGGACCGAGCGUUGUCCGGAAUCAUUGGGCGUAAAGGGUACGUAGGCGGCCUAGUAAGUUAGAAGUGAAAUAAUAUAGCUCAACUAUAUAAAGCUUUUAAAACUGAUAGGCUUGAGAGAUGGAAGGGAAAGUGGAAUUCCUAGUGUAGCGGUGAAAUGCGCAGAUAUUAGGAAGGAGACCGGUGGCUAAGGCGACUUUCUGGUCAUCAUCUGACGCUGAGGUACGAAAGCGUGGGUAGCAAACAGG